GUGACGCGAAUGCAGCAUAGCCGAUCAAUUUCUUCCCUUUAAAAAGCGUGUUAUUAUUUCUUUAGGCUGACCACGCUUUAAAUAUAUCAUCACUAUUUUUAUAUCAUAUUUCUUAAAGUAUAUCACUCGCCACCGCUCGUCCACGCUUCUGAGAUGCUCGUGCACGCGGACAUUUCGUGGCGUAACACGCGGAAAUCUAUCGGCGCGUGACGAACGGAAAAGAUGUGGAAGUCAAUGGUGGGCCGCGAUGUGAGUGUGAAAGUGGCUGCAGAAGGUGACGACUGGGAGACGGACCCAGACUUUGAGAAUGACGUGUCCGAGCAGGAGCAGAGGUGGGGGGCCAAGACAAUUGAAGGUUCGGGCCGCAAAGAGCCCAUCAGUGUGGCAGAGCUGAGGCACAAAGUCGCAGCGGAGCACGAGCAGGGGAAACAUCAGGAGAACACGCCCAAAGCGUCGUACGGCUACGGCGGGAAGUUCGGCGUGGAGACGGAUCGCAUGGACAAGGUGGCGGUCGGCCAUGACUACGUGGCUCAAGUGCAGCAGCACAGCUCCCAGAAGGAUGCGGCCAAGGGAUUCGGGGGGAAGUUUGGCGUGGAGAAAGAUCGUCACGAUAAGUCUGCUGUGGGUUUUGAGUAUAAAGGAGAAAUUGAGCAGCAUGCGUCACAGAAAGGUGCGUCAAAUAGAUUAUUUCAUAUGAAAAGUUUCAUUUGUCUUUCAGUGCGUCACACGUGCUCACGUUGUGCCCUUCCAGAUUAUUCCAAAGGCUUCGGGGGCAAAUACGGCGUGGAGAAGGGGAAGGUGGACAAAGCCGCCGUGGGCUACGACUACAAAGGCCAAACGGAGAAGCAUCAGUCGCAAAGAGAUUAUUCCAAAGGCUUCGGGGGCAAAUUCGGCGUGGAGAAGGAGAAGGUGGACAAAGCCGCCGUGGGCUACGACUACAAAGGCCAAACGGAGAAGCAUCAGUCGCAAAGAGAUUAUUCAGCAGGCUUCGGAGGCCGAUACGGUGUACAGUCGGAACGCAUGGACAAGAGUGCUGUUGGUUUCUCCGAGAUGGACUCCCCGACUUCUGCGUAUGAAAAGAUGCAGCCGGUGGAGGCCUCCGGCGCCAGCGCCAGCGCGGGCAAGCUGAAAGCCCGCUUCGAAAGCCUGGCCAAGGCCUCGGACGAGGAGAACAGGAGGAGAGCAGAGGAAGAGAAGAGCAGGAGAAAGGAGAGAGAGAAGAGAGAGCGACAGGAAGCGGAACGCAGACAGCAGGAACAGAAGAGCAAAGAGGACCACCUUCAUCCUGCAGAUGAUCCGGAAGAGCCACCGGAGAUUUGUCAGGACACACCGGAAAUACCGGAGCCACCGAAGAUCUGGCAGAACAUACCAGAAGAACCGGAACCGGAACCCGAAGCACAGUUGCAAACAUCCGACGACGAGCCUCCAGCUCUGCCCCAGCGCUCGGACUGCUUCCUGCAAACGGGCCUUCCGUUGCCGCCUGUCGAGGAGGCGGACGACGCCGACGUGUACGAACAAAUCGCGGAGGACGGCGAGGGCGAAGAGUACGAGGAGGUGGCGCCCGCGCCCCCGGUGGCGGAGGAGGGAGGCGACGAGUACGAGGAAGUCGGCCCGCCGCCCCCCGCGUCUUCGUCGGUGCCAGAAGACUACGAGAAGAUGUCGGGUGGCGUCCGAGCUGUAGCAAUUUAUGAUUAUCAAGGAGAGGACCUGGACGAAAUCUCCUUCAACCCGGACGACGUCAUCACCGACAUCGAGAUGAUCGACGAGGGCUGGUGGAAGGGACGCUGCCACGGACGCACCGGCCUGUUUCCCGCCGCGUACGUCCAGCUCAUCUAGUGAGAGACGGUCACGCCACCCGACCGCUGCGGGAUGCGUUCGCCAAGACUUACGGCGUGAAGACGGACGACCUCGCUCACCGUCCUCUCCGUCUCCCGCCAUGUUCACAUCCGCCUCCUUCUUGAUCUUCUCAACCGGGACCACGGUGGCCAUCUCCUGGAUGUCGCUCAUCACGGCGUCCUCACCCU